UCUGAGGGCCAUAUACUUUGGUGACAGUAAU
rnacentral:piRNA from 1 species